rnacentral:rRNA from 1 species
UGAUAACUAAAUAGCCGCAGUUUUACUGUGCUAAGGUAGCAUAAUAAUUUGCUUUUUAAAUAAAAGAUAGUAUGAAAGGAUUAACGGCCAAUUACUUUUUUUAAUUACCUAAUUAACUUUUAAUUGAUGUAAAAAUACAUUAAUAAUAUAGCAAGACGAUAAGACCCUACUAAACUUAACAUUUUGUUGGGGCGACACAAAAACAAAAUCUUAUUUUUAAACAAAACUAAUUCAACUUUUAAUAAAAAUUAAAAAUAGUUACUAUAGGGAUAACAGCGCAAUAUCUUUUAAGAAUGAUAUCUAAAAAGAAGUUUACGACCUCGAUGUUGAAUUAAUUAACCUUUCUAAACAAAAUUUAUUAAAGGUAGUCUGUUCGACUAUUAAAAAAUU